UACGUAGGGGGCAAGCGUUGUCCGGAUUUAUUGGGCGUAAAGAGCGUGUGGGCGGUCUGGUAGGUCCGUUGUGAAAACUCGAGGCUCAACCUCGAGACGCCGAUGGAAACCAUCAGACUAGAGUCCGGAAGAGGAGAGUGGAAUUCCUGGUGUAGCGGUGAAAUGCGCAGAUAUCAGGAAGAACACCCGUGGCUAAGGCGGCUCUCUAGUACGGUACUGACGCUGAGACGCGAAAGCGUGGGGAGCGAACAGG
rnacentral:rRNA from 1 species